GAUAUUGUCAGUCAAAUGAGAAACCUGAAACAUAAGCCACAGAAAGGUGUUGUCUCUGAAUUAAUCUCUUGAAAAAAGAAUACACUAGCAGAAAUUAAAAUGCCAGAACCUACACAGCCAACCUGAAUUUGGCUGUUUUAAAUUUGGCAAAACCUCAAAUUGUCAUGAUAUUCAAAAGAAUUGAAAGAAAUAGAUAUAUUAAUAUUGGAAAUUCAAUAAAACAAACUGCCCCCAACGCAAGUGAAUUUGCAAUGCAACCAAUUAAAGAAAACCCCAGCUUGCACAAAUGCGGGACAUAACACAUCACAUCAUUCUGAUAAAAUGUUAUAAUAACUUUGAAAAAACAAAAUUCAGAUUUAACAUGAAGCUUUGACUAAUGUAUCACCAAAUCCU
rnacentral:misc_RNA from 1 species